rnacentral:rRNA from 1 species
AAGAUAUUCCGUGAGUAGUGGCGAGCGAAAGCGGAGGAGGCUAAACCAGAUGCGUGUGAGAGGCGGCGGCCGUUGCGUGUUUGGUGUUGUGGGGCCAUGUUGGAUCCUUCUGCCGGGGGGUCGCGCCGUGUGAUGCUGGGAGUCGAACAGUUUGGGAUGGCUGACCGUAGAGCGUGAGAGUCGUGUAGGUGGACUGGUGUUGUGUGGUGUGGAUGUGGUGCCCGAGUAGUGCGGGACUCGUGAAAUCUCGUGUGAAUCUGCCAAGACCACUUGGUAAGCCUAAAUACUACUUGAUGACCGAUAGUGCAUAGUACCGUGAGGGAAUGGUGAAAAGUACCCCGGGAGGGGAGUGAAAUAGUACCUGAAACCGUGUGCCUGUAAGCCGUCAGAGCCUUGUGGGGUGAUGGCGUGCCUUUUGAAGAAUGAGCCUGCGAGUUAGUGAUACGUGGCGUGCUUAACCCGUGUGGGGUAUGCGUAGCGAAAGCGAGUCUGAAAUAUUGGCGUUUGUCGCGUGUUCUAGACCCGAAGCGGGGUGAUCUACCCAUGGUCAGGUUGAAGCAGAGGUAAGACUGUGUGGAGGACCGAACCCACCAGGGUUGAAAACCUGGGGGAUGAACUGUGGGUAGGGGUGAAAGGCCAAUCAAACUCCGUGAUAGCUGGUUCUCCCCGAAAUGCAUUUAGGUGCAGCGUCGCGUGGUCCCUGGUGGAGGUAGAGCUACUGGAUGGCCGAUGGGCCCUGUGGGUUACUGACGUCAGCCAAACUCCGAAUGCCAUUAGGUGUAGCGCGGCAGUGAGACUGCGGGGGAUAAGCUUCGUAGUCGAGAGGGAAACAGCCCAGAUCAUCAGCUAAGGCCCCUAAGCGUACGCUAAGUGGGAAAGGAUGUGGAGUCGCGGUGACAACCAGGAGGUUGGCUUAGAAGCAGCCAUCCUUGAAAGAGUGCGUAAUAGCUCACUGGUCAAGUGGUUCUGCGCCGACAAUGUAGCGGGGCUCAAGCGUACCGCCGAAGCUGUGGCAACAACGCGUUUGUGCUGGCGCCAGGAACUGGAGUGCUGGUGUGUUGUUGGGUAGGGGAGCGUCCUGCACGAGGUGAAGCCUGGAGGGAACUUCUGGUGGAUUGUGUGGGAGUGAGAAUGCAGGCAUGAGUAACGAAUCUGCGGUGAGAAUCCGCAGCGCCGAUUGACUAAGGGUUCCAGGGCUAGGUUUAUCCGCCCUGGGUUAGUCGGGUCCUAAGGCGAGGCCGACAGGCGUAGUCGAUGGACAACCAGUUGAUAUUCUGGUACCGCGUUGUGACCGCCCAUGCUGAAGUCAUUGUGCUAACCAAUUUGCCUGCCGCCCACUAAGCCUUCGGGUUUGGUGGUGUGUGUGGGUCUUGGGGUCCCGGUGAUUGUAGGCAAGCGUGUUAACAGGGGUGACGCAGACAGGUAGCUGCAGUGCGCCGAUGGUUGUGCGUAUUUAAGGUUGUGGCCCGUUUCCUAGGUAAAUCCGGGAGACACUAGGGUGAGAACUGAUGAGGGACGCACGUGUGUGUGGACUUGUGGUGAUCCUAUGCUGCCGAGAAAAGCCUCGACGCGAGGGGGCAAGGCGCCCGUACCCUAAACCGACUCAGGUGGUCAGGUAGAGUAUACCGAGGCGUUCGAGUGAAUCAUGGUCAAGGAACUCGGCAAAAUUCCUCCGUAACUUCGGGAGAAGGAGGACCCCUUAGCUUCCCAGCGCCGCGCGUGCUGGUGGGGCCGGGGGGUCGCAGAGAAUAGGGAGAAGCGACUGUUUAUCAAAAACACAGGUGCGUGCGAAGCCGUAAGGCGAUGUAUACGCACUGACGCCUGCCCGGUGCUGGAAGGUUAAGAGGAACCGUCAACACUCCUUGUGGGUGUGAAGCGGUGAAUUUAAGCCCCAGUAAACGGCGGUGGUAACUAUAACCAUCCUAAGGUAGCGAAAUUCCUUGUCGGGUAAGUUCCGACCUGCACGAAUGGCGUAACGACUUCUCCGCUGUCUCAACCGCGAACUCGGUGAAAUUGCAGUACGAGUAAAGAUGCUCGUUUCGCGCAGAAGGACGGAAAGACCCCGGGACCUUUACUAUAGCUUGGUAUUGGUGUUCGCUUGGACUUGUGUUGUAUAGGUGGGAGUCUGUGAAGCUGCCGCGCCAGCGGUGGUGGAGU